GACGAACGCUGGCGGCGCGCUUCAAGCAUGCAAGUCGAACGAGAACCUCGGGCUUGCCCGAGGGGAGAGUGGCGAACGGGUGAGUAACACGUGAGGAACCUGCCCCGAAGACCGGGAUAACGCCGGGAAACUGGUGCUAAUACCGGAUGCCCUCGCCGAACCGCAUGAUUCGGCGAGGAAAUGGAUUCCGCUUCGGGAUGGCCUCGCGUCCUAUCAGCUUGUUGGUGGGGUAACGGCCCACCAAGGCAGCGACGGGUAGCUGGUCUGAGAGGAUGUCCAGCCACACUGGGACUGAGACACGGCCCAGACUCCUACGGGAGGCAGCAGCUAGGAAUCUUGCGCAAUGGACGAAAGUCUGACGCAGCGACGCCGCGUGGGGGAUGACGGCCUUCGGGUUGUAAACCUCUUUCACCAUCGGCGAAGCCCAUAGCUUUUGUUGUGGGUGACGGUAGGUGGAGAAGAAGCACCCGCCAACUAC
rnacentral:rRNA from 1 species